UCGGGAAACCGGAGCUAAUACCGGAUACGUUCUUUUCUCGCAUGAGAGAAGAUGGAAAGACGGUUUACGCUGUCACUUAUAGAUGGGCCCGCGGCGCAUUAGCUAGUUGGUGAGGUAAUGGCUCACCAAGGCGACGAUGCGUAGCCGACCUGAGAGGGUGAUCGGCCACACUGGGACUGAGACACGGCCCAGACUCCUACGGGAGGCAGCAGUAGGGAAUCUUCCGCAAUGGACGAAAGUCUGACGGAGCAACGCCGCGUGAACGAAGAAGGCCUUCGGGUCGUAAAGUUCUGUUGUUAGGGAAGAACAAGUACCAGAGUAACUGCUGGUACCUUGACGGUACCUAACCAGAAAGCCACGGCUAACUACGUGCCAGCAGCCGCGGUAAUACGUAGGUGGCAAGCGUUGUCCGGAAUUAUU
rnacentral:rRNA from 1 species